rnacentral:rRNA from 1 species
GACGAACGCUGGCGGCGUGCUUAACACAUGCAAGUCGAACGGUGAAGCUCCAGCUUGCUGGAGUGGAUCAGUGGCGAACGGGUGAGUAACACGUGAGCAACCUGCCCCUGACUCUGGAAUAAGCGCUGGAAACGGCGUCUAAUACUGGAUACGAGAAGGGUCCGCAUGGGCACUUUCUGGAAAGUUUUUCGGUUGGGGAUGGGCUCGCGGCCUAUCAGCUUGUUGGUGAGGUAAUGGCUCACCAAGGCGACGACGGGUAGCCGGCCUGAGAGGGCGACCGGCCACAAUGGGACUGAGAAACGGCCCAGACUCCUACGGGAGGCAGCAGUGGGGAAUAAUGCACAAUGGGCGAAAGCCUGAUGCAGCGACGCCGCGUGAGGGAUGAAGGCCUUCGGGUUGUAAACCUCUUUCAGCAGGGAAGAAGCGAAAGUGACGGUAACUGCAGAAGAAGCACCGGCUAAAUACGUG